rnacentral:rRNA from 1 species
UACGAAGGCCCCAAGCGUUAUCCGGAAUUACUGGGCGUAAAGCGCAAGUAGUCGGUCUUUAUAGUCUGAUGUUAAAUCUCGCGGCUUAACCGUGAGACCGCAUUAGAAACGUAAAACUCCGAGCAAUCGGAGGUGACUAGAGCGAGUCAGAGGCAAGCGGAACGUGUAGUGUAGCGGUGAAAUGCAUUGAUAUUACACGGAACACCAAAAGCGAAGGCAGCUUGCUGGGGCUCUGCUGACGAUCAGUUGCGAAAGCGUGGGCAUAAAAAAGG